GGUGAGAUGGCCGAGCGGUCUAAGGCGCCAGACUAAGGUGAUCUCGACGUACAUCUUCUCAUCUGGUCUCUUCGGGGGCGGGAGUUCGAAUCUCCCUCUCAUCA